UAUUGGACAAUGGGGGCAACCCUGAUCCAGCCAUGCCGCGUGAGUGAUGAAGGCCUUCGGGUUGUAAAGCUCUUUUGGCGGGGACGAUGAUGACGGUACCCGCAGAAUAAGCCCCGGCUAACUUCGUGCCAGCAGCCGCGGUAAGACGAAGGGGGCUAGCGUUGUUCGGAAUUACUGGGCGUAAAGCGCGUGUAGGCGGUUGCCCAAGUCGGGUGUGAAAGCCUUGAGCUCAACUCAAGAAAUGCACUCGGUACUGGGUGACUAGAGGACCGGAGAGGAUAGUGGAAUUCCCAGUGUAGUGGUGAAAUACGUAGAGAUUGGGAAGAACACCAGUGGCGAAGGCGGCUAUCUGGACGGUUCUGACACUAAGACUCGAAA
rnacentral:rRNA from 1 species